UCUGCUUUGUUCGAAACGACGGGCCAGAAGUAGUGUCAGACGAUUUUCAGCCUUGUGGAUAUAAUUUUUUGAAUCUCAUUUGCCGUCUACUUAAUUUUGAUGCCACUAUGGUGUCACGUUUCAUUCUCUCCCAUGAAAGACCUGACGCGGAGUGUAGACCAUUCGUUGAACCAGGACUACAAAAACGAGUUGUCACUGUCGAGAGUAACAGUUGCAUGGAGUUUCUUGCAAGCGAAACACGGAACUUGUGGAGUUGAUGGGUAUGAAGAUUGGGCACAAAGUCAAUGGAGUCGAGAAAAAAAUACAGCCGGUCGCAGAGAAAGAAACUGGCCUAUUUUCUGCUGCUCAAAAAUAGGAAAAGAAAACGCUGCGAAACUAAUUUUGGAUAGCGAGUUUGGUAAAGAAG